rnacentral:rRNA from 1 species
UACGUAGGGUGCAAGCGUUGUCCGGAAUUAUUGGGCGUAAAGAGCUCGUAGGCGGUCUGUCGCGUCGGCUGUGAAAACUCGGGGCUCAACCCCGAGCCUGCAGUCGAUACGGGCAGACUAGAGUGCGGUAGGGGAGACUGGAAUUCCUGGUGUAGCGGUGAAAUGCGCAGAUAUCAGGAGGAACACCGGUGGCGAAGGCGGCCUGCUGGGCAGUUAGCUGACACUGAGGCGCGACAGCGUGGGGAGCAAACAGG